UGUGCACAUCAGAACCCUGGAGGGUUCUGUGCUGCCUCUCGGAGACGCCAGCUCCCCAAAUAUCAGCCACCAGGGAAAUUUGGACAACUUUACUAAAAAACGCUUUCCCCGUUCUUACCCUGGACUACGAUGACAUACAGAUACUGUCUGUAGCCUGGUUUUGGCGGUCAAAUUCUCCAGGAAAUGGGCUGGGUGUGACAGGCUGUGUGGCCUGGGCUACAGGUGUAGUCACUACAGUUUUGCACUGCUGGUGACCGAGGACAUCAUUCAACACAUCGUUGCCAUGACGAACCUGCAUGGCAGACGCACAAAGGGGAGCUAGUGAGAUGUGGAUGUGACUGAGCUUCAGGCUUAUAUGGGGCUCGUCAUUUUGUCUGGAGUUUACAGGUCCAAGCAUGAGUCGACAGUCAGCCUCUGGGACGAGAAAGAUGGACGCAGCAUUUUCCGGGCCACAAUGUCAAAUAAACGCUUCCACCAGAUCACGCGGAGCCUGCGUUUCGAAGACAAGCUGUCUCGUCCCCGACACUGGGAUGACAAAAUGACUCCAUCCCGACACAUCUGGGACAUGGAUGGCGUGCCUAUGUUCUUCAAUCCAGAUAGACAUUUGUGUUGACGAGCAGCUGGUUCCGUUUAGAGCACGGCUUCAGACAAUUUAUGCCAAAAAAGCCAGCUAAAUGUGGCAUAAAAAUCUGGGCUUUGUGCGACGUGAAAACCUCUUAUACAUGGAGGCUCCAAAUCUACACCGGCAAAGACCUAGUUCGUGAAGUCAACCAGGGCAUGAGAGUGGUCAUGCAGAUGACAGAGGGGCUCCGUGGACAUGUGGUCACUUGUGACAGUUUUUUCACCUCCUUUCUUUCUCCUCCCAGGAGCUGCUGAACAAUAAACGGGCACUGGUUGGCACAAUCGGAGGAGCAAGCCAGAGCUUCCACCUCACCUGCUGCAGGCAAAAGGGAGAGAGCUAUACUCCUCCACUUUUGCCUUCACCAGCACGCACACCCUUGUCUCCUACAUACCGUUAUGGGGCCAGAAUGUGCUACUGCGCAGUACCAAGCACCACGACCCGAUGUUGGCGAGGGACAGAAGAGGAAGCCAGUGAUGAUUGAAGAUUACAACCGCUGCAAAGGAGGUGUUGACAACCUUGAUAAGGUUGUCGGCACAUAUGCCUGCAGGAGGAGAGCCAACAGGUGGUCACUGGCUCUCUUUCACAACCUGCUGGACGUGUCCCUUUACAAUGCCUUUGUCCUGUGGACAUGGCUGGAUCCAUCCUGGCAGGAACAUAAAACCUGCAAGAGGAGGCUCUUCAUCCGAGAGGUGGGAGAACAACUGGUGACGGCCCACAUACAAAGGAGAGAGCGCCUUCCCCGGGCAUCAACAGCUGCAGAUCUAGUCAUGGAACUGCAGGGUGUUAGCAAGCUUCGGAUCCUUGGUAUCAGAGGGAACAUCACUAACAACAUGCCUUCAAGGACGGGUAGUCUUACAAAUCCACAUGAGUUCAGAGAAUUCAUUUUAGAAGCACAUCCAAAACUCAGACAAGAGGGUGGAUUUGAAUUGGUCGAAAUUUCUGGAACAACAAGAAGUCGGCAACUGAUCCUCAUCUCCUGUCCCAAUGAGGGCUACCAUGUGAGGCAUUUGAAAGAUCCACAAACCCAGAUCAGUCAUGCUACCAUUUUCAUUCGACCACUUCAACGGAACCUGAAUCUGGAGCCUGCUUGUUUACAGGAUUGUCAAGCAGGAUGCAGAAGCGAACUGGUUGGACCACCUCAAAAAUGUGUCACGUGUGGACAUGAGUUCCCUUUUUCAUACAUAAAAGCUCAUAGUGAUGAAUGCAUAAGAAAUGCAUCCUAAUGUGGAGGACACAAUGGGCCAUGCCUGGGUGGAUUGAGCCCAGCAAUCCUGCAUGUGCUUUGUGGUGGAUCCCAUGAAGAAGCCACAAUAGACAUUAAGGACUGUGCUAACCUUGACAUCUAUGAGGCUAUCAAAUUGCUGUUUGAAAAAGUAAAUUAUUCAGAUGGUCUUGGACAAGAUAAAGUGGCCAACACAGGAAGAGGAUGAAGACAGUGAUGUGUUCCUAGAGGAUACAUGUAGGAUCACAGGAUUGCGUCACAUAUUUAUUGAGAACGCAUCACUAAACCUGCUUGGAAAACGUCUGCGGUUCUGGGUAGGAUGGAACGUGCUUCCCAGACAACUGAAUGUUGAAGUGGAGGAGAGGAACUUCCCCAGGUCUUCCAGCUGCUAAAACUUCCAGGACAUUACAAGGAGUACUGUAUGUUUGAAAGAGACAUUCUUGCUGCUCUGUGGAGCACCAACACUGGGUUUGGAUUGGUCUAGAGACUGUACAUAGAAAUAUAAUUUAGUACACACUGAUAAUAGUGUAAUUUGUUGUCUCGCUCGACCAGCCCAAAAACACUGAAUUGCAGUUUAAAAAAAAAAAAAGCGAUUACCUAGUGCCCAGUUCUGCCAGUGUGCAACAUGUUAUAAAAAGAGUGGUGGUAAUCCUGAGUGUUACAGUUUUAAAGAUAGGGAGACAAGCUUUUGGAUUUAAUGGUCAGUUUGUUAUGAUAUAACGUGAAGUAUAACCAUAGUGGUUUUGAAUGUUCAAAACUGAAAAUGUCCUAGAAUUGUUUUAUGAAGACUGUUGUAAAAUAAAGUUCUGUAAUUGCCAACUUUUACUUUGGUAUUAAAAAUCAUUGAAGAUAUCUGAAUCAGCUGUACUAGGUAAAUAAUAAUAAUAAUGCUAUCACAAUUCAACUGUUACCAGUAAUGUAAACAAUGGCUUCCUGUUACUUGGACAUUCUACAUCAGAGCUUGUGAAGCAGGAAUUUAUUGUAGCAUUUCUGAUAAGCAGCACACAGACAUCCAACAUGUUAGACAGAGGGCCAUCAGGGUCUGGCAGACUUUCAACUCCCUGCUCAGUCAGUGAGCAAUGUAGCUGCACCUCAGGGACCACAAC